rnacentral:rRNA from 1 species
CUACGGGAGGCAGCAGUGAGGAAUUUUGCGCAAUGGGCGAAAGCCUGACGCAGCAACGCCGCGUGGAGGAUGAAGGCCUUCGGGUCGUAAACUCCUGUCAGUGGGGACGAAAGCCUCGCAAGAGGUUUGACUGUACCCGCUGAGGAAGCCACGGCUAACUCCGUGCCAGCAGCCGCGGUAAUGCGGAGGUGGCAAGCGUUGUUCGGAAUUACUGGGCGUAAAGGGCGCGUAGGCGGCUUUGCAAGUCAGAUGUGAAAGCCCCGGGCUUAACCCGGGAAUUGCAUCUGAAACUGCUUUGCUUGAGUCCUGGAGGGGGUAGUGGAAUUCCCAGUGUAGCGGUGAAAUGCGUAGAUAUUGGGAGGAACACCUGCGGCGAAGGCGGCUACCUGGACAGUGACUGACGCUGAGGCGCGAAAGCUAGGGGAGCGAACGGGCUUAGAUACCCGUGUAGUCCU